UCGUAUUCCCUUGUUUUUCAAUUGAGACAUCUGAUUUUCACUUUCUCCCAAAAUUUGUUCAGCUUUUCACUCAUUUCUCUACAACAAUUGAUGCAUUCUAUCGCUCGAAAUUGGUCCAUGACGAUGGUUGGUCGAAGAGUUCAUCGUCUCUGUAUUUAAUUCAAGGAGAAACGAUAGGGUUGCAAACAUGAUAUGCAGGGAUGGGCGUAGUAACUUCAAAUUCAAAAAAAUCUACUCAAUUAUUUCUCUAAUUUUCAAUAGGUCUUUGCAUUUAAUUCAGGGAGAAAUGAUAGGGUUGCAAACAUGAUAUGCAGGGAUGGGUGUAGAAACAUCAAAUUCAAAAAAAUCUACUCAAUUAUUUCUUUAAUUUUCAUAGCUUCUCACUCUUUCCUCUACAACAAUUGAUGCAUUCUAUCGCUCAAAAUUGGUCCAUGAAGAAGGUAAAAACAAGUACCAAAUCAGUUUUAUAAAUUUAAGAACGAUUAGGGUUUGGGAGAAUAGGAGAACAGAAGAGGAAGACCAAGAAUUGUUCAAGAACGUUAAGAUCAUUGCAUGGAAUUCAUAGGGAGUGAUCCCUAUCGAGGUAACCAGGAAGCACGUAGAGCUUUGUUGAUCCAGAUUGAGCUCCAGAAUUAGUGGUGAGCCUCCAUGCAUUCUCAAGGACAUCCAUUUCAUUUGCUUUAGUACUUUAAUUUAAGGAUGUUGUGCGGUCUGUCCCAACAUCCCUCUUCAGUUAGUUUAGAGGCUUCGUAGACUAUUAGUAGUUUAGUUUGGAGUUAUUUUACUUGUUGAGACUCAAGUGCCAUUUUGGCCAGAUUAAUUUAUGAAGUAUUUGUUUUUAAAUAUAACUUUAUUCUUAUUUAAGUUGAUUUUAGUCUUCUUCUGAGUUAAGUAAGUCAGGCCAACGAUUUGCUUGGGG